AACGAACGCUGGCGGCGUGCUUAACACAUGCAAGUCGGACGCGAAAGGGGGCAACCCCCGGUAGCGUGGCAGACGGGUGAGUAACACGUGGGCAACCUGCCCGGAGGUGGGGGAUAACUCUUCGAAAGGAGAGCUAAUACCGCAUAACACCCCGAGGUUCUCGGACUUUGGGUUCAAAGCUAGCCUCUGCUUGCAAGCUAGCGCCACCGGAGGGGCCCGCGCCCCAUUAGCUAGUUGGUGAGGUAACGGCUCACCAAGGCAACGA
rnacentral:rRNA from 1 species